UGCUGAUGACGUUGAAACACGAGAACGCCAAGACAGUGCUGUUGACCAGCGACAAGUGAAUUCAGGUCAUUGCUUGUGCGACCUUCCUUCUGAUAUAUUGAAGCAUAUUUUUCAAUUCUUCAAAGUGCAAGAUUGCCUGAACAUUGUAGCACGUGUUUGUAGACGUUUUUAUAAAAUAGUGAAUGAUUCUGGG